GGACUACUGGGGUUUCUAAUCCUGUUUGCUACCCACGCUUUCGCGUCUCAGUGUCAGGUCCGGCCCAGAAGGCCGCCUUCGCCACCGGUAUUCCUCCUAAUAUCUACGAAUUUCACCUCUACACUAGGAAUUCCACCUUCCUCUACCGUCCUCUAGCUAUGUAGUUUCGGGUGCACUUCCUCGGUUGAGCCCAGGGAUUUCACACUCGACUUACAUAACCACCUACACGCGCUUUACGCCCAAUGAUUCCGAACAACGCUUGCACCCUACGUAUUACCGCGGCUGCUGGCAC
rnacentral:rRNA from 1 species